CCUACGGGUGGCAGCAGUGAGGAAUAUUGGUCAAUGGGCGAGAGCCUGAACCAGCCAAGUCGCGUGAAGGAUGAAGUAUCUCUGGUUUGUAAACUUCUUUUAUAUGGGAGUAAAGUAUGGCACUUGUUCCCUUUUGUAUGUACCCUAUCUAUAUGCCUCGGCUAACUCCGUUCCAGCAGCCGCGGUAAUACGGAGGAUGCGAGCGUUAUCCGGAUUUAUUGGGUUUAAAGGGUGCGUAGGUGGUUAAUUAAGUCAGCGGUGAAAGGUUGUGGCUCAACCAUAAAAUUGCUGUUGAAACUGGUUGACUUGAGUAUAUUUGAGGUAGGCGGAAUGCGUGGUGUAGCGGUGAAAUGCAUAGAUAUCACGCAGAACUCCGAUUGCGAAGGCAGCUUACUAAACUAUAACUGACACUGAAGCACGAAAGCGUGGGGAUCAAACAGGAUUAGAUACCCGUGUAGUC
rnacentral:rRNA from 1 species